rnacentral:misc_RNA from 1 species
AUCAAUUAAAGCUCUAAUUCAUUACGAUUAACAGUUGUUUUGUGGUUCAAUAGCAUAUAAGUUCUCGUAAAGGGGAGCUUCAAUACAAGAAAAGGAAACCAUUGACUUUCUUCCUGUAUUCAUGGCACCCCCGGAUUCGGUAAGAGUACUUGAGGUCUGCCAGGUGGCUGCGGCCAGCCACUCACCGGAGUCAGCCACCGAGUUAUCCCUCCCUCUAACAUUUCUUGACAAAAGAUAUUUGAAAUUUCCCCCAGCUGAGCGCAUCUACUUUUUCAAGCUCCUUGGUUCAACUCCAACCUUUUUCCACUCUGUACUCCUUCCAACUCUCAAACGCUCACUCUCGCAGACCCUUUGCCACUUCCUCCCUCUCGCUGGCCAUCUUACUUGGCCACCUCAUUCCCCCAAACCCAUCAUCCUCUACUCUCCUAAUGGUGCCGUUUCGCUUACAAUUGCGGAGUCUAAUGCCGAUUUAGAUGGCUUGGCAGGCGAUGAAAUUCGCGAAGCUUCUGAGUCACGUCAUUGUGUGUCUGAGCUGUCAAUAUCAGACACAAAAGCAUCAGUAAUUGCUUUGCAAAUAACGCUAUUUCUCAAUAAAGGGUAUUCCAUUUCCAUUGCUAUGCACCAUGCAGUUGUUGAUGGAAAAACCGCUUCCAUGUUCCUCAAAGCAUGGGCUCACAUAUGCAAAAACACCGCAAAAGAAAAAACAUUCACUUUGUCGUCGGAACUAAUUCCGUCUUUUGACCGAUCGACGAUCCAAGACCCAGACGGGCUUGAGUCAUUUUAUUUGAACCACUGGGUAGCUACCACCAAAUUGGACACGAAAUCCAACUCAAGAAGCUUAAAAUUGCUGCCAAAUCUUUUGGGAGUGCCACCCAACUUAGUUCGAGCCACAUUUCAGUUGAGUCGUGAAAGCAUAGAGAAACUCAGGGAAAACGUAGUUAGCUACCACCAGCAGCAUGGAGCUGCAGGGCUACAACCUAUGAAAGAAGUUCGUCUAUCUACAUUUGUACUUACAUGUGCUUAUGUGUCGGUUUGCCUGGUGAAAGCUAGAGGAGGAGAUGCUAGUAGACUGGUUUACUUUCUGGUAGCAGCAGACUGUAGGAGCCGCUUAAACCCUCCGAUUCCACAGAAUUAUUUCGGUAACGGUGUUUUUGUCCAUGAUACGGUUAUAGAAGCAAGAACUUUCAUGGAGGAAAAUGGAGUAGCUAUUAUAGCGGAGAAGCUUAGUGGUCUUAUAAAGGGGUUGGAGAAGGGACUUUUCAGAGGAGCAAAGGAGAGCCAUGAAAGGUUGAGAUCUGCAGGAGCAGAAGUGCAAAAGUUCGGAAUUGCUGGAUCACCUCGGUUCCAGUAUUACGAAGAGGAUUUUGGAUGGGGAAAACCCGACAAGGUUGAGAUUGCUUCCAUAGAUCGGAUAAAUGCUGUUUCAUUGAUGGAGAGUAGAGAUGGAAAUGGAGGGCUUGAGAUUGGAUUAGUUCUGCUGAGGAGUGAAAUGGAGGCUUUUGCUUCAUUGUUUGUUCAAGGCCUGAAUUAACGACGUUAAUUAAGCUGAUGGUGUCCUGAUUUGCAUGUUUAUUAAUCUUGUAUGAACCCUAGUCAAUUAAUCAUAUAGGUCUGACAAGUGUUUUUAAUCAUAGUUCGUAACAGAUUUACACAAGGAUUGCUUAUUAUUCUGAAUUAGUGAUGUAGAUUUGAGCCUCUUUCUUUCAAUUAUUACUUUGAAUUUUCCAAUGAUCCAAGAAUUGAUAGAAAAAUAGCUGGGGAUAGGAUAGGAUAGGAUAGAAUGGGAUGGGAUGAUCUCUGGAAAGGCACAGCUUAAGAUUCAAAGUGUCAG